rnacentral:rRNA from 1 species
AGCCAGACUCCUACGGGAGGCAGCAGUGGGGAAUAUUGCACAAUGGGGGGAACCCUGAUGCAGCGACGCCGCGUGGGUGAAGGAGUACUUCGGUACGUAAAGCCCUAUCAGCAGGGAAGAAGAUGACGGUACCUGACUAAGAAGCCCCGGCUAACUACGUGCCAGCAGCCGCGGUAAUACGUAGGGGGCAAGCGUUAUCCGGAUUUACUGGGUGUAAAGGGAGCGUAGACGGAGAAGCAAGUCUGAAGUGAAAGCCCGUGGCUUAACCACGGGACUGCUUUGGAAACUGUUUGACUAGAGUGCUGGAGAGGUAAGUGGAAUUCCUAGUGUAGCGGUGAAAUGCGUAGAUAUUAGGAGGAACACCAGUGGCGAAGGCGGCUUACUGGACAGUAACUGACGUUGAGGCUCGAAAGCGUGGGGAGCAAACAGGAUUAGAUACCCGGGUAUC